rnacentral:lncRNA from 1 species
ACGCUUCCCCACUGAGGGAAGACCAUGUGACUAUACAACAGGAAGGUAGUUGUUUACAAGCCAGGAAGAGAGCCCUCACCAGAAACCAAAUUGGCUGGCGCCUUGAUCAUGGACUCCUGGGCUCCGGAACUGUAAGAAAAUUUGUGUUGUGGAAGCCACCCAGCCCAUGGUAUUUCGUUAUGGCAGCCUGAGCAGAGGUGGUAGCUAUGUGGACAGUUUUUGGACUUCUCUAUUGUUGCCCUUCAUCACUCAGCAGUGAAGAAUGAAAAUCAACAGAGCUUUCCCCAGCCUGCUGCUUAAGCAGCUGCUAGCAGGCUGAGGCUGCCCAGCCUCAUUAACCCAUUAGAUGCUGCGUUCGCCCGGGAGUCAUUCUUAAUGAGGCUGCUGCAGAGACGGCGUUUCACCAUGUUGCCCAGACUGGUCUCGAACUCCUGGCUUCAAGUGAUCCUCCUGCCUCAACCUCCCAAAGUGCUGGUAUUACAGAUGAGAAAACAGAAGCAAAGGCAGAAAGAUGCUACAUUGCCAGCUUUGAAGAUGGAGGGAAGAGGUCACAAACCAAGGAA